ensembl:lncRNA
GCAUUAAUGGAUUAUUAUGAUUUAUAUAUUUAUAUAGUGGGUUUUAGUGAAUACACGUAAAUACAAAUAAAAAUAAUUCUUCACACAAGUUCAACACAAAAGGUUCCUGGAAAAGGUUUAAUAAAGUAAAGUGAAUGUAAUCAGUAUGUUUGGUGUAAUGUCAGAUCUUUGUGUGGAUUAGAUCAGAAGUGAUAAAGACUCAAACGUGUUCAGCGGUGUUCCUGUAUUAUUAUUAUUAUUAUUAUUAUUAUUAUUAUUAUUAUUACUGCACGUUGAUACAGUUUCUUCACACACUUCCAGCCUGUUCCUCUGUUUAACACACACACACAUACACACACAUACACAAACAAACACAAACAUACACAUACACAAACAUAUAUAUACACAUACACACACACUCACACAUACACAAACACACACACACACAUAUACACACACACAUACACAAACAUAUAUAUACACAUACACUCACCCACAUACACAAACAUACACACACACACACACACACACACACAUAUACACACACACAUACACAAAGAUAUAUACACACACAUACACAAACACGCGCACACACACAAGGUUCACGGUAAAGGUUUAGACCCUACACAAAUAAUAAUAAUAAUAAUAAUAAUAAUAAUAAUAAUAAUAAUAAUAAUAAAACUCCAACAUAAAGUUUUAGUGAAACUCCGGCGGGAAGUUUCUUUCUUUCUUUCUUUCUUUCUUUCUUUCUUCACCUUUUCUUUCUUUUUUCUUUUUUGUCUUUUUGCUCUCAUGACAAAUAAAAAAUGGCGGUCAGUGCACUGUCUUUCCGAAGUUUGUUCUCUCGGUCAAAACUGGAGUCAAAAACAAACAAAAAAAGAACAAACAAAAAUAAUAAUUUAAUUUAAAAAAAACAACAAAAAAACAAAAACAAAACAAAAAAAACGACUAAACACAAACCGCUCGCGCUGUUCCGCGGGUAAAUAAUACUGAUUAUUCUCCGCGCGCAUGAAUGGAGAAGGGGGAAAGAGAGACGGGGGGAAAAUACCGACACACGCACGCACGCACGCACACACACACACACACACACACGCACGCGUGAGUGUGUACAGAAGGAGAAAAUGCGGUGAAUGCGCGCGGAGUGAAGGAGUAAAGGGAAGAAUGAAGAUGGGAUGAAGGGAGGCAGAAGUGGAGGAGUGAAGGGAUGAAGGAGUGGAGGAGUGAAGGGGUGAAGGAGUGAAGGAGUGGAGGAGUGAAGGAGUGGAGGAGUGAAGGAGUGAAGUAGUGGAGGAGUGAAGUAGUGGAGGAGUGAAGUAGUGGAGGAGUGAAGCGGCUCGAACGCGCGUCGGCUCGCAGUCACUUACUUUUCUGUGUCCUGUGACAUGAUGAUGUCUUUUGGACUCCUCGCCGAUAAUUCCUGGAGAAACUGGACUUUCAGCCCUGAUUCCAUUGGUCGAGGUGUGUAAGGAGGUCGGGCUGUGAUUGGCUGAGCCAGCACAGGUCCUGAAGGCCAGGAAGUGAAAUCACAGAGAAAUGAUACCAACUGAACGAAAUGUGCUUAACCUCACGGGGAAACAUAACACACGCCGAGGAAAGCGCUAUCUGCCUUCUUCCACACACACCAGCUAACAGAUCAUCACUGUGAUUGACAGGUGAGAGAGAGUAAGCCCCUCCCACCCACAGAGCAGGUCACACCUUUCCCUCUCUCACCUUUUUUGAAGUUGAAGUUAAAGUCACAAGUUCGAAUCCUGAAGAUGUCACAUGGCCGGAAGGCAAGAGACCGAAACCGGCGGUGUUUUCUGGGUGGGAGGGGCUUACUCUCCCACGCCCCUGUCAAUCACAGCGACACGAGCCAAUCACAGGCAUCUGUGAGCUGGAGUAUGAGGAAGAGGACGAGAAGAGGAUACUGUAGACAGUGCCUUCCUGCGAGUUUAGAGUUCUUACUCUGUACUUCAUCGAGUUAAUCCACUCUUUUCGUUUAGAAUUUCACAGAUUUAUGAAUUUAAACGUUCACCUCUUUAAAAAUGUUUUGUUUUUCACGCUUUUAAGAAGGUUCCCUCCCGUUUUAAAGUCUUUUUAGAAGUGAUUUCUGCAGAUUUUUAAUCUCUGAUUAACACGGAACACCCACACCACCACCAUUCCCUCAACUCGUCCAAUCACUCGCCUGCAGUAACCACUUCAUCCUGUAUUCGUAAAUAUUUAUCAUAUGUGCGGCCAAUUUCAAGACAACUACCUCAGCGUACUGUUGCACGGCACAAAUACGCAAUAUUUCUAUACUUUUUUAAAAAUAUUUCCCUUUUUCUAGUCGUAUGGAAGUAAUUGUGGUCUGUGUAAACUGUAUUUUAUGUCACGGACAGUCGUAAAAAGCCGUACUGUGUACGCUUGUGUGCGUGACGGUCGAAGGAUUGAGGUAAAAGUAGAUUUGGGAUCGAGUCGUCAGCGAUCAGCGACGGGCAGCCCUGAGACCCGACACACACGGGGUUUAUCCUGCGCCGCUCGGCGGGAAGCGAGUUUGAUGUGCAGAAAUUAGCGAGGGCCGAGUGCCAUUCUCCCACGGUGCUGAGCUGAGAAAGCUUCCACGGAUCAGGCACGGACACGCCGCCAGACCUGACCAGGUAAACCUAACGCCUUCGACACGACACGACCGACACCUCGGGGUUCUACUGAUCCACUCCUGUACCACACACUGGUCUCCUUUCUGAGCUCUCGCUCAUCCCAUGUACGAUCAGACCCGUCACACCUGCUCCGCCCUCCGUUCUCCGUCGGGUUUCAGCCAGGCUCCAUCGGAGAACCCUUUUAAGUUGCACAAGGAACCUUUUACUCUCAAGUUCUUUAGAGAACCUUCUAUUUACUGGUGCUUUAAAGAACCCUGUAAAGAUAUUUCUUCACAGCAGUGCCACAAGCAAACAUGUUAUCAUCGGUUCUCUAACAAAACAAAAAAAACCCUUGGUUAGUGCUUUAAGGAAGCAAAGUAAGGCUCUUAAGAGUGCUGCCUGAGAGGAGAACCUUUUCCAGUCCCACAAAGAACCCUAUAGAGUAUGGUUCAUGUUAAUGUGUUAAGCGAUGAUACCUUGAAGAUCCAAUACACUGCUCUGAAGAUCCUAUAACGAAACAUAACGAACCUCUUUAAUCUCCACGGAGCCGUACAGCUCAGCUCAGGAGCCCUGCAGUGAAAGAUGGUUCCCAUGGUGCUGUAAAGACCCAGAGAAGAGCCUUUAUUUUUAAGAGUGUGAGCUACGUGUGGUGCUAGACAGCUGUUUUAGCUACUUAAUGAAUAUUAACGAACAUUAUCACACACUCGUCGUAAUACGUUAUCGUCGCUAUAGUAACAGUUCAUUCACAGGAACAGCGGUGUACGGCUGCUGUAACGUAAGAGAGAACAGGAACUCACUUUAAAGGUUAAACUUUAAAGGAAAUCUAAUAGGAAAACUGUUUUCUGGUCCGGAAUGCUUGUUUGUGUGUAGGUCCUGGGGGCGGAGCUUUGUGAUCAUGGGCGGGAAUAGGUGGGGGUGUGUGUGGUUUCAAGAAGUUUAAAAAAAAUAUAUUUCAAACAUUUUAACUAAACGGUUAGAGAGCUAAACAUGUGGUAUAAAAUGGACUAAUCUUACCUAGUACACCUUUAAAUGUAACUAUAAACGGAUAAAAAUUACGAUGUGUUGUUCUGUAAUAAACAAAAAGUUGUUUACGGACUGUGUUUUAGGAGUCAGGAUCUGGAGGCUCGGAGUUCAGGACUCGGUCCAGUGUGUGUGUGUGUGUGUGUGUGUGUGUGUGUGUGUGUGUGUGUGUUAGUGCAUUAGAACCCCUGAUCUGCGCUGGACCUUCGGGUCCUCUGCGUAAACACAGCUGCAUUGUGAUCUGGAGGCUGAGGGGCGACACCUUCAGCACCUAAACACACACACCUUUGUUUUCAGGCGUCUGAGACAAAGCACUCGGUCAGUGGAGGAGAUAAUCAGAUUUACUGAGAUCAGAUAAACAUCUCAGUAUCCUGACCUCACACACACACACACACACACACACACACACACACACACACACACACACCUGGUCUGAUCUGUAAUACAAACCUGCGAUAACAUUCAUCAGGCUUUCAUGGCGGUUCUGUCUGAUACACACCAUGUUGUUGAGUCUGAUGUUCAGUCUGAUGCUGAGUCUGAUGUUCAGUCUGAUGUUCAGUCUGAUGCUGAGUCUGAUGUUCAGUCUGAUGUUCAGUCUGAUGCUGAGUCUGAUGUUCAGUCUGAUGCUGAGUCUGAUGUUCAGUCUGAUGUCCAGUCUGAUGUUGACAGAUUGAUGCACAUUGAAAGUUUUUAGGUUAUUGUUCUAAAAAUAAAGAAAACCUUUUCUCUUUAUUAUUUGUUUGUUUGUUUGUUUGUUAUGUCAUCCUGUGUUUACUACAACACUGCGGAG